rnacentral:tRNA from 1 species
GAUAGAGUAGCCUAAAUUAAGGUAAUAGACUGUAAAUCUAUAGAUGAAGGUUACUUCCUUUAUCA